CACUUUGGAAGAAAAAUCUCAUACAUCCUCACCGAAGACUGGAGAGAAGCAUCUACUCCAACUGGGUUCUGUACAAAAACUUCCUUAAGAGACGGGAUUCGUUUGAGGACAGAGCAACUCUGGCAAGAUCGUUAUUCUGAGAGGGGGGUGCCUUUGCGAUGGAGAAGAGGGAAUUCGGAAGCUGGAUACAGUUGGUCGGCAUGGGAAUUCCUCAAAGCAAGAAUCUUGUCUUUGACCACAACAAUUUACUCGAGCAUCCAAAGAAUCUCGAUUUUAAACCUGCGACCUGUUUCCCCUGUCAUUUCUUGGAGUCCUCUCACGGGGUAUGAUCCUGUAAAACAGACUUGGCGCUCUUUGCCUGUGAAUAGACACACGUUUAUUUUUCUGCUCCUGUGCCCUCAAAAAUCAGCCUACACCAUUCACCGAAGACACCAUCGGAGCGUUUAGGGUUUUGUUGUUUACCAAAAAAAGGUAGGCGGGUGGGGGAUGGGCAGCGAUGGUCUUCUGUUUAAGAAAGGGACAGUCGAAAAGCCAGUCCGGCUGUUAAGGGGGGGGGGUAAAGACGUCUGUGGAAUGUGGGGUUGUAAAAUCUUUCAAGGGAGCGCCAUAAACUUCUCUUGAAUGGGCAGACCAAGACGCAUUCUCCUUUGGCUAACGGAAUCUCCCAAAUCUAUCCAAAGGCCAGACAAGAAAGAUAAAAAGAGACUCUGGUGAGGCGAAAAAAAGGACUAUCUGGAAGGCCGAUUUAAGUGCUUGAGAACUGGCAAAGAAACCAGGGAGUGAUGAGAAAGUGCUCUCUUCAAACUGCACAGGACGCGUCUGAACCUUUUCCAACCCACCUUCCGCCCUGCCCCCUCCCCAACAGCCCGUGUUUUAAAAACCGUGGAGAAAAUGAGAGGGUUAUUCUUAAACUGGUCUCCCCCAUCCUCCACACACACACACACACGUUUAAAAGCCCCUGGACUUUGAAAAAUCAUCUGUAAACCGCAUUUAUAGAUCAGGAAAAAUAAGAAACAACUAUCCCAAUCCAUUAAACCUAAGACUUUAGGAAGUACUGGUUGAUGCGCCUCUCCCCCCCCCCCUUCCCCAGCUUUCCUACAAUUUGCAUGUAGACCUGAUUUAGAUUAUGUACUGUAGUCUUUCACCUCUCCCCUCUCGGAGUGUACUAAAAAGCUUCUUCAUAGUUGGUUUUUCUUUGAAAAACAGGAAGAGGGAGAAGUGGAAGAGUCGGUAAACAGAUAGUUUUAAUAUGAAGAGAAGAGGUAUAAGAUAUUUACAAGGUACCUGUAGGUCUGUGUCCCGCUGGACCGAUGGACGGAUAGAUAGAUAUGACAUCUUCCUAUAUUUUGUAUGAGCUCUCAAGCAUUGAAAUGAAAGGGAUUUAAUAAGUGACUUUUGUAUUCUUACAGUGCAAUUCCAAGCACAGUUUUAAGACCCCUGAAUUCUGUUAAAGAUUGCAUUGGGAAUUACCUUAGCUUCUCUCACACACAGACCCUUCAUCUAUUUUCCACUUUUGACGGUCAUAGGGUAACACCUUUGAAAUCAGUUUUGGUAUAUUUUGGGGUCAUGAGAAUGAACUGGGGGCUGUAGGGUUUCCAGAAGUCGCACCCACCCAUCCUAGUUUCCCUAUCAACGAUACCCUUGUAAAUCUGCAAGGAAGGCCAAGGAAGGGACUGGAUAGCCUCAACUCUGCCUGCAUUGCUUUGUCAUUCUUCCUAAUAAAUAUACGAACUACUGUU